GGGGGUUUAGCUCAGAGGAAGAGCACAACGCUGGCAGCGUUGGGGUCGUGGGUUCGAGUCCCAUAACCUCCACCA
rnacentral:tRNA from 1 species